UACGUAGGGUGCAAGCGUUAAUCGGAAUUACUGGGCGUAAAGCGUGCGCAGGCGGUUCUAUAAGACAGAUGUGAAAUCCCCGAGCUCAACUUGGGAAUUGCAAUGGAUACUGGCAGGCUGGAGUAUGGUAGAGGAAGGUGGAAUUCCCGGUGUAGCAGUGAAAUGCGUAGAGAUCGGGAGGAACACCAGUGGCGAAGGCGGCCUUCUGGACCAAUACUGACGCUCAUGCACGAAAGCGUGGGGAGCAAACAGG
rnacentral:rRNA from 1 species